CAGAAAUGAUAGUCGGGAGGGUGAGAACCCGAGUCAGGGUUCGCACAGCGACGAAGCCGCGCAACGUGGUUUGCCGACGGCCCCAAAGGGGCGAAGAGCGGAGUGACGAGUAAUCCUCCCUCACCGCCA
rfam:Enterovibrio coralii strain CAIM 912 contig00043, whole genome shotgun sequence.